UUAAAAAGUUGCGUAUGUGGAAAUGAUUUUUUUGGUGAAUCUUGUUCAAUACCAUAUAAGUUUAACAAUGGUUUAAAUUCAUGGUAUACAGUAUCUUCUAAAUUAACAGUUUUUACAGCAAGAUCAAGUCAUGUUGCUGUUUUCAUAAGUAACUGCUUGAUUAUUCAUGGAGGUUUUACAAAUGAUGGAUUGUCUGAUCAGCUUAUAUAUUUUAACAUAAGUACGAAUCAGUGGAAAGUUAUUAGCAUAAAUGAACCAAAGCCAGGUUCUCGAUAUGACCAUGCUGGUGAAAAAUAUGAAGAUGGAUUUUUAAUUUUUGGUGGUGAGUUAGCUGAUGGAAGUUUUUCAAAUGAACUUUGGUAUUUUAACAAUAAAUGGAUUCUGUUAAGUAAUGACAAAUCAAUACCUGGUCUCACAGGACACUCUGUGACUGUUGUUGGUUCAAAAGUGUUUAUCUUU
rnacentral:lncRNA from 1 species